CCCUUCGACGUCUGGGGCCGCACGCGUGCUACAGUGGUGGUGGUAACGCGCGUUCCGUGCUCGUAAGGUGUUCGGGAAUCGUCAAGCUCCCCCAUGCCGGGGAUCGCGGCUUGCAAUUGUGCCUCGUGAACCAGGAAUGCCUAGUAGUCGCGGGUCAUGACCUCGCGUCGACUGCGUCCCUGCCCUUUGUACACACCGCCCGUCGCUACUGCCAACUGAGAUGGGUCCUGAAUUGUUAGGAACGCCCGUCAAGGGGCCUACCCGGUCCCUAGUGCGGUGACGAGAAUAACUGUAAAUGGCAUAUCUUGUAGGGAGUAAAAGUCGUAACA
rnacentral:rRNA from 1 species